UGAGCAAUCUGCCCUUCUCAUCGGAAUAAGCGUUGGAAACGACGUCUAAUGCCGAAUACGACCUCCUUUCGCAUGAUCGGAGGUGGAAAGCUCCGGCGGAGAAGGAUGAGCUCGCGGCCUAUCAGCUAGUUGGUGUGGGUAAUGGCCCACCAAGGCGACGACGGGUAGCCGACCUGAGAGGGUGACCGGCCACACUGGGACUGAGACACGGCCCAGACUCCUACGGGAGCAG
rnacentral:rRNA from 1 species